ensembl:snoRNA H/ACA box small nucleolar RNA (snoRNA); guides pseudouridylation of large subunit (LSU) rRNA at position U2944
AACAUCAGUAGUGGUUAAUACUAUCUUUAGAUAAUAUUAAUUUCAUUAUACCAUAGAAACCUAAAGAUUAGGUUAUUUUCGUUCUUCAUGUUAUGGAGUGUGAGUGAUGAGGAGCUUGCUCUUUUAAGCUCAUAUUACGUAAUAAGUUAAUACUGGAGCGAGAAUAAUUUAAAUCAUUUCAUCAUAACCCAUAGCUGAAUGAACUUUGACUACUCCUAAACAAAGUAGUAACAAUUUUCAUUUCGUUUCCGGUUUCUUAGAUCGAAUAUUAUUCUGAGGAAAUUCCCUGAUUACAUAUCAGGGAAAGGUUCGCGUUUUUAGAGAAUUGCGUAAUGCGAUUUGAAAGUUUAAAUUCCUAAGCGACUCUUCUUCAUGAUAAGACAGUU